UAAAUUUUCAAAUUGAUAAUAACAUUUACAUCCUGAUAUCUUUUAAUAACAAAAUUAUUUUCUAUAAACAGUUCUAAACUUUUGGGGGAACUAACUGACAAUAAACUUCAAUUCGCUGAUCACAUUGUAACUCUCAAUAAAAAAAGUUUCAGGUUGUUUUGCAGUGAGAAUAACAUAUAAGGAACUUGGUAUGAAAUUCCUUUCUGGAUAGUAUGUUGCAAAACUCAAUUGCAUACUAUUUUCAUUAUUCAGAAAAAAGCUACAAGAUUCAAGUGCAAUGCCAAAAGUCGAGAAUCUUGCAAACCUUUGUUUGAAUUAAAUAAAAUGUUGACAGUC